rnacentral:rRNA from 1 species
UCGAUGCAACGCGAAGAACCUUACCUGGUCUUGACAUCCACGGAAGUUUUCAGAGAUGAGAAUGUGCCUUCGGGAACCGUGAGACAGGUGCUGCAUGGCUGUCGUCAGCUCGUGUUGUGAAAUGUUGGGUUAAGUCCCGCAACGAGCGCAACCCUUAUCCUUUGUUGCCAGCGGUCCGGCCGGGAACUCAAAGGAGACUGCCAGUGAUAAACUGGAGGAAGGUGGGGAUGACGUCAAGUCAUCAUGGCCCUUACGACCAGGGCUACACACGUGCUACAAUGGCGCAUACAAAGAGAAGCGACCUCGCGAGAGCAAGCGGACCUCAUAAAGUGCGUCGUAGUCCGGAUUGGAGUCUGCAACUCGACUCCAUGAAGUCGGAAUCGCUAGUAAUCGUGGAUCAGAAUGCCACGGUGAAUACGUUCCCGGGCCUUGUACACACCGCCCGUCACACCAUGGGAGUGGGUUGCAAAAGAAGUAGGUAGCUUAACCUUCGGGAGGGCGCUUACCACUUUGUGAUUCAUGACUGGGGUGAAGUCGUAACAAGGUAACCGUAGGGGAACCUGCGGUUGGAUCAC